rnacentral:rRNA from 1 species
UACGGAGGGUGCAAGCGUUGUUCGGAUUUAUUGGGCGUAAAGCGCGUGUAGGCGGUCUUUUAAGUCUGAUGUGAAAGCCCCGGGCUCAACCUGGGAAGUGCAUUGGAUACUGGGAGACUUGAGUACGGGAGAGGGUAGUGGAAUUCCCAGUGUAGGAGUGAAAUCCGUAGAUAUUGGGAGGAACACCGGUGGCGAAGGCGGCUGCCUGGACCGAUACUGACGCUGAGGUGCGAAAGCGUGGGGAGCAAACAGG